rnacentral:rRNA from 1 species
UACGGAGGGUGCAAGCGUUAAUCGGAAUUACUGGGCGUAAAGCGUGCGCAGGCGGUUUGUUAAGUCUGCUGUGAAAUCCCCGAGCUCAACUUGGGAAUUGCAGUGGAUACUGGCAGGCUGGAGUAUGGUAGAGGAAGGUGGAAUUCCCGGUGUAGCAGUGAAAUGCGUAGAUAUCAAGAGGAACACCUGAGGUGAAGACGGGUUGCUGGGCUGACACUGACGCUGAGGCGCGAAAGCCAGGGGAGCAAACGGG